UAGCGUAGGGGGCUAGCGUUGUCCGGAAUUAUUGGGCGUAAAGAGCUCGUAGGCGGUUUGUCGCGUCGGCUGUGAAAACUCGGGGCUCAACCCCGAGCCUGCAGUCGAUACGGGCAGACUAGAGUGCUGUAGGGGAGACUGGAAUUCCUGGUGUAGCGGUGAAAUGCGCAGAUAUCAGGAGGAACACCGGUGGCGAAGGCGGGUCUCUGGGCCGAUACUGACGCUGAGGAGCGAAAGCGUGGGGGAGCGAACAGG
rnacentral:rRNA from 1 species